GAAAUGCGAAAAGUAAUGUGAAUUGCAGAAUUCAGUGAAUCAUCGAAUCUUUGAACGCACAUUGCGCCCUCUGGUAUUCCGGGGGGCAUGCCUGUUCGAGCGUCAUUACAACCCUCAAGCUCUGCUUGGUAUUGGGCCCCACCCCCGCAAGGGGAUCGGCCCCAAAAUAAUUGGCGGUGCCCAUUGGUCUCCGAGCGUAGUAACAAUAACCUCGCUUUUCGAGCCAAUGCGGCCCCUUGCCACAAUCCCACAUUUUUAUCAGGUUGACCUCGGAUCAGGUAGGGAUACCCGCUGAACUUAA
rnacentral:misc_RNA from 1 species